AACAGCAAAGUCCACUCCUGGUUUUGAUGUUUUCUAUUCAUCCCUUUUACUCACUCGAAGCCCGAGCCCUGCUGUCCAGGCCAGGUGCUGGGCUGGCUCUGGGGACCAGCGUAGUCCUAGUAGGCCAGCCCUAUCUGCCUGGAGCCACGGUUGGGUGUGCAUCAUGCAGCCCCCCAUUCUCCUCCAGGCCGCUGUGGACGCGUCCCCACCCUGCGGUUUCUGGGGCCCCAGCUUUCUCUACUGCUUCUUCCAGCAAAGUACCCAUGUUUGGCCUGGAGGCCAUCUGGAGGAACGGCCAAGUGGUGGGCCAUGUCCGGAGGGCUGACUUUGGGUUCGCCAUCGACAAGACCAUCGCCUACGGUUACAUCCAUGACCCCAGCGGUGGGCCGGUCUCGCUGGACUUUGUGAAGAGCGGGGACUAUGCCCUGGAGA
rnacentral:lncRNA from 1 species